GACUCUAGAAGAGGGCGAAACCAAAGAUUUUAAGUCAGCAGUGAAAGCGUUGAAGGAGUAUUUUGAACCAGAGAAAAACGUGAUAUAUCGCACCUAUGUUUUUAGACAAGCGACGCAAGGCAAAGAGGAAUCAAUCGACGAAUUUCAUACGCGUUUACGAGGCUUGGCAAAAUACUGCGAAUUUACAAACAUAGAUUUUGAAAUUAAGAUGCA